GUAUGUUUUCUCAGGGAGUUAUCUGAAGAAUGAAGGUGUUUUGCUUUAAGGGAUAGGCUGGGGAUGGAGGAGCGGGUUGUGCAUAGUCAUUUUCAGGUGUGGAAGACAAGCCAGUGCUACGCGGUUGCCAUAGUAACCUGACGUCAUAUUAGCGACGGUGACGACUUUUUAUUGAGACCAAUUUGGCCUGGGGAGAACCGCCUUCAGGCGUUUGGACUCAGUGGAGGUUGUGAGUGCCCAGCAGUGUGGCCUGAAUCUCCGUGGGGUUUAGGGAGACGAAAGGACCCCAGAUCGACGUCCCCUCGUUCCCACUUUGGGGAUCGGCGCUCUGGCUGUUUCGUGAAGGAGAGAGAGGUUGAUUCCAUACCCUGGCUAUUGUGAAUAAUGCUGCAGUGAACAUGGGAGUACAUACAUCUGUUUGAGGAACUCAGAGUGGUUUUCCAGAUGGGAAUCACAUUGCUCUCUGUCCCUGAGAUCUUGCUGGAGACAGGGCUACUCAGUCCCUCUUUGCCAGAUUGAUACUGGAAAAGCAGUUUCUAUUGAGCCCCCAAAUGAAGAGUGAGUGCAGAUGAAGAGGAGGCAGGACUCACAAGCCCUUGAACUUUAUUCCAGAUCUGUUAGCACCUACAGGACCCUGCACCAGGAUUUCAUCUGUACUAUCAGCUUCUUCAAAGAGAGAGAGGUUGUUGAAUUGAUAUUGGAAAAGCAGUUUCCCAUUGAGUCUCAAAUGAAGAGAGUGCAGAUGAAGAGGAGGUAGGAGUCACAAGCCCUUGACCCUCAUGCUAGACCCAUUACCACCCACAGGACCUUGCAGUGGGAUUUCAUCUGCACCAUCAGCUUCUUCAGAGAGAGAGGUUGUUGACUCUUCAUGUGGAUGUCUGAGCUCAUAUCAGGUGUCUGAAAGAGGCAGAUUCUGAGGAUUUGGGUCAUGAUGGCUGCCAAAGCUUCUACUCCUGACUUAAAGGGCAACAAUCCUAGGAGACCACCAGCACUUACAUCCCUGGUAGGACAUGACACCUGCUUAUGGCUCAGAAGUGACAAAAGAGAAUUAUCAGGAUGGCAGUCCUUAUAACCAGAUGCUUAUCAACAUUCUUCACUACAUUCUGAAGAUGAAUUUCUACAAGGGAAAUUGUUUAUAUUUGUUGUUGGGGAUAGAUAAGGAAAGAAGAAAAAGGCUCUGGUGAGAAACCCAUUGUACCUUCUGGAUAUGAUCACUACCCAAUUUUAUCAGUGUCAUUGAUCACUAACCCAGUGCCUCGUAUGGUGCCAGGCACAGAGUUACUCCAAGAAUGUACAAUAAUGGCUGGAUUCUCUUUCUCCCUGUGCAACUCUUCAUGCAUGUGACUGAACUUAUAUUAAGUGUCUGAAGGAGGUUCGUUCUGAGGAUCUGGGACAUGAUGGGUGCUGAAGCUUCUACUCAAGAUUUGAAGGGCAGCUGUCCUCAGGAGACCCCUGGCACUUCCCUCCAUGGUGGGAUGUGAUGCCUGAUUCCAGUGAGUUCAUAGAGCUGAACAAAAGUACGUUGUGGAAUAGCUCCUGUGAGGUUCACAACAUAGUCCGGAAGAUGAGAAACUACUUUUUUUAGUAACCUGGAUUCCCAUCUAAGAGAUGCCUUACUUUAUCGUAAAGCAAUGAGUUGUUCACUUGAGGAGGGAACUUCAUGUUUAACAUGUAUUUGCAACAAAUUUACAUACAUUUUCUGCCUGUAUGAAUAGUUGUCAGUGAUGCCCAUGAAUUUCUCAGAUGGAUGUUGAAGUAUACAGUUAGAAGGUUAGAAGAUCUUCCUAGCAAUCUGUGAUUACGGUAUGCAUUCUUCCAUGGUUUCUACGUUUUUGUCUAUUCUAUAAUGAAAUUUUCUAAGAAGCCAGAAAUUAAUUAAGUGCUACCUAAAAAUAUCAAAAUGUCAGGUACAAGAAUUUGGCAUUUUCAAAAUUAGUAAUUACAAUGUAAGUUUGCCCUAUUAUAAUGAUACCCAGCUAUGUCCAGUAACAUAACUAGAUUGUUCUGAAUACCGUUAUUAUUUCCCAAUAAUACAAACAUCACAAUUUCAGUUCUGUAGUACCUGGCCUACCUACCCUUCCCACUGCCUUGCCCCAGGUAAACACAGCAUGCCUGUCACUAUACAUUAUUUUACAUGCCUGGAAAUAUAUUUAAAUGGAAUCAUAGAGGUGGUUUCUUUUUUUUUUUUUUAUCAACACCUGGCUUUUUUCAUUCACUCCACUUAUUUUUAUAUUUAUCCAUUUUAUUGCAUUUAUCUAUUGAUAUACUUCAUUCUUUUUGAUUGCUAAAUACUAUUGCGGUAUACAACCACACUAAACAUUUUAUUAUCCAUCCAUUUGUCGAUGGACAUUUUGGUUGUUUCUCAUUUGGGGCUCUUGUAAAUAAAGCUGCUAUGAACAUUUGUGAAUAAGUCUUUUUGUGAAAAUAUGCAUUCUCAUUCAAGGGUCAAUACUUAGGAGUUCAAUCUCUGGAUCAUGUGGUAGA
rnacentral:lncRNA from 1 species